rnacentral:rRNA from 1 species
ACAGAGGUCCCGAGCGUUGUUCGGAUUCACUGGGCGUAAAGGGUGCGUAGGUGGUGAGGCAAGUCGGAUGUGAAAUCUCGGAGCUUAACUCCGAAACUGCAUUGGAAACUGCCUUGCUUGAGGAUUGGAGGGGGGACUGGAAUACUUGGUGUAGCAGUGAAAUGCGUAGAUAUCAAGUGGAACACCAGUGGCGAAGGCGAGUCCCUGGACAAAUCCUGACACUGAGGCACGAAAGCUAGGGGAGCAAACAGGAUUAGAUACCCUGGUAGUCCUAGCCGUAAACGGUGCGCGUUUGCUGUAAGAGGAAUCGACCCCUUUUGUGGCGAAGCCAACGCGAUAAACGCGCCGCCUGGGAAGUACGGUCGCAAGAUUA